rnacentral:rRNA from 1 species
CUGGCGGCGUGCCUAACACAUGCAAGUCGAACGAAGCGUCCCGCCCGACGAAGUGGAGUGCUUGCACAAAGCAGAAUCAAUUGGGACGACUGAGUGGCGGACGGGUGAGUAACGCGUGGGUAACCUGCCUUAUACAGGGGGAUAACAGAUAGAAAUGACUGCUAAUACCGCAUAAGCGCACAGUACCGCAUGGUACAGUGUGAAAAACUCCGGUGGUAUAAGAUGGACCCGCGUCUGAUUAGCCAGUUGGUGAGGUAACGGCUCACCAAAGCGACGAUCAGUAGCCGGCCUGAGAGGGUGAACGGCCACAUUGGGACUGAGACACGGCCCAAACUCCUACGGGAGGCAGCAGUGGGGGAUAUUGCACAAUGGGGGAAACCCUGAUGCAAGCGACGCCGCGUGAGUGAUGAAGUAUUUCGGUAUGUAAAGCUCUAUCAGCGGGGAAGAAAAUGACGGUACCUGACUAAGAAGCCCCGGCUAACUACGUGCCAGCAGCCGC